CUAAGAGAAAGGUAGAACACGAAGCAGUAUAUCCUGCUUCAAUAAAAAGACUUUGAAGUACACAAAGUCUAUACUCUUAAAACUAUGCGCUUCUUUCUUUCCUUUUCCCUUUGUUUAUAUUUCGGGCCUGUAGCUCAGUUGGUUAGAGCACUUCUCUGAUAAGGAAGGGGUCAUUAGUUCAACUCUAAUCAGGCCCAUACCAACUGAAAACUAAGGUUGGCAUCCGCAACCGUUAAAUUAUGGUUGCGGAGCAAGGUCUUUGACACGGAUAGGGAAGGGAAGAAAACGAAAAUCAAAUAAAAGAGCGUGUACACUUAUCUUUUUGGCGAGGAGCUGAAGGGGUAAGUAACGAAACGUAAAGAAGGGCCGGUAAUAU
rnacentral:tRNA from 1 species